UGCUAGGGUUUCUCGAGAAAAACUCUUCAUUUAAGGGAAGUUUGUUUUUUUUCUCUUAACAGCAGCUUUUUGUUUUUUUCGAGGGAUUUUUUUUGGCUCUAUUUUUGGGAAUUGGCUGUAAAUUAUUUUAGCUCGGGGUUUGAUUUCGCAAGUGCAGUGUCCGCAAAAAUCAUAUUAUGUAGACCUACUUAGUUUAUUACAAGUGAAACUAUGAAAUAAGACGUGAACUUUAAGACAACAUCGUGUGGCAUCAUCAAUUUCACACAUUUUCACACUUUUUUUUAGGGUAAAUAUUCCAUAUGUGAAUUUAACACAUGUGAGAAAUAGCCCAUAUAUUGUACACAAUAUAGCACAGUGUUAGUAGUGACCUUUACUAAAGCUAACUGGUAUGUCUUUUUUUUCUUCAAAGUACUAGUGCAAAUAAGACAAAUAUAGUGCAAAUGGAGCUGAAAGAUGUGCAAGUAAUAUGUCAUCCACAGGAUGAGGAUAUCAGGAUAUUUCCCUCAGGACUUGGUAGAGACCAAGAUAGAGCUGAGAGGAAAGGUCUUUCACCACAGCAACACAGUCUGAGAUAAGAACUGGGUCAGAUGGAAGAGCUGCAGGCAGAGCAGAGGAAGUGAGGUGGAGACACAGAAAGUGCUAGUCACACUGAAGAGAAGACAAGAAGCCACAGAAAGCCCAGGAGAAGAUCACCUUUAUGUAUCCUGACCACUGUCCAUGGUACUGAUCUUGGGGUCACUGAGAAUGCAGCAAAAAGACAGGAUCAUUGUUGUGUUUUCUACUGUAUUUGUGCCUUACUGCUCUGUAUUUAUUUUGGAAAUGCAGAAACUGGUUUGCACUCCGCUCUUCAUUUGUGAGGACUGCAAAGCGUCACUGUUGAUUAGCUGUUAAAAUAGUGUGAUGCCUCUAAUGUGUGAUGAUGAGAAGAUUAGUUACACCCUUAUGUUCCACUUUACCCAACCAUUUAUGUGCAACUCCUAUAUGAACACAACAUUCUCAGAUGUUGGGCAAAGGCUUGCACAUGUGACUAAGCACUUUGCCAAGCCUGAAACAAAAAGGUGUGUUGAGUCUGAACAUGCUCUAUUUUUGUGAAUCAAGACUUAGAACGCCAUUGUCAGCAAAAUGGAAUUAAAGUAAAGUAAAAGUACUCAUUAUGCAGCAGUAUGAUAUUAAUACAUGUUAUAUGAUUUUUAAUGAGUUUUUUCUUUCUUUUUAGCACAGUUAAUAUGCAAACAUUUCAACUGAUAGUCUUUUGUUUUUUAGCAAACACUUAAUUGCCUGACAGUUGCAUGCAAAUAUUAGUGCACACAUUUUAGUGAAACAUCAUUAACUCUGAUAUUUGCUUUAUUUAAUUUAUGUCAUACCUUUGUUCUUUCUCGUGGUUCCACGCUGAUUUCAUGGAUAGCGUAGGGUUAACUGUUUAUUCUUACUGCUGUGUGUGUGUCUUUGUAGUUCAGCCUUAGUCUGUAUAAACCCUCUCUUUGUGGCAUUUGUUAGCUCAGUUAUGAUUAUUUCUGUCAUAAGUUGCUGUUUGUUUAGUUGAACUCAAUUUAACUUGAAGAGUUUAAGAGUACUCAAAUAAAUUUCUCUGGUUUUCCUAUAUUUGUAUUUUGCAUAAUUUGCUACUUUGUUAAUUGCAAGUUAAGUUGUAAAUAAAUUACUAUUUUUGCUUUUCACACCUUGAGCCCUACUGCUUGGUCCCUGACAAUGAUAAUUACUGAUGCAUUAAAAUGUAAGCAUCAUUUUAAUGUUGUAGCUGGUGAGAGGGAGCCAAUUUUAAUUAAUUUACAUAAAUUUGGGCAGUUUAUUCUUUAACAGUUACAAUUAUAUUUUAUAAACUGGUCAUGGGUUUUAUAUGUGCAACCAGGUGGUAAAAUAAAAAUAUCUAAGGGAAAUAAAGUCCAUGUGGAUCAAGUUGUCUGUUGGGGAUCCUUACUUUGGACAGCAGGGGGCGGGGAUUCACCAUGUCUUGGAGUGGGGUUACCCUGGGUUAACCCUGCUGAGUGGUCAGGGAACACUGGGAAAAUACGGCAAGUACAACAUAAUGUGCUACUUUUCUCUUUUCUCUUGGGCAACACAAAUAAAGAAACAACAGAGCACCUGUUUUAUGCUUGUGACACGAUCCAAAGCUUAUGGAAGUCCUUGUAUGAUUGGCUGAGCUCCAAAUCCAUACAUAUAGAUUUCU